GACCGCCCCUCCGGGGGCCAAGGCCAUACGGACAGCCGGGUCGGAUGCCGA
rnacentral:sRNA from 1 species